CGUGUAGGCGGUCUGAUUAGUCUGAUGUGAAAGCCCUGGGCUCAACCCAGGAAGUGCAUCGGAUACUGUCAGACUUGAAUACGGGAGAGGGUAGUGGAAUUCCUAGUGUAGGAGUGAAAUCCGUAGAUAUUAGGAGGAACACCGGUGGCGAAGGCGGCUACCUGGACCGAUAUUGACGCUGAGACGCGAGAGCGUGGGUAGCAAACA
rnacentral:rRNA from 1 species